rnacentral:rRNA from 1 species
GACGAAGGGGGCUAGCGUUGUUCGGAAUUACUGGGCGUAAAGCGAGUGUAGGUGGUUGUCGUAGUCAGGUGUGAAAGCCUUGAGCUCAACUCAAGAAAUGCACUUGAUACUGGGCAGCUAGAGGACCGGAGAGGAUAGUGGAAUUCCCAGUGUAGUGGUGAAAUACGUAGAGAUUGGGAAGGACACCAGUGGCGAAGGCGGCUAUCUGGACGGUUUCUGACACUAAGACUCGAAAGCGUGGGGAGCAAACAGG